UUCAUUAAACUUCUCCAACCUUUCAUUCACAGAAAUUGAUUCAGAAAUUAAGUGUAGUAUUUCAAAUUUAACCUCUCGGCUACUCACCAUGAAGGUUAUGUAUUUCACAUUAGUUGUCAUUGCUUGUGUUCAUUUUGAAAAUAUUGAAGCUCGGUUUUGUGGUGUACGAUGUGCGAGAAGAGCUGAUUGUUUUAGUGGUCCCAGGCAUCAUUAUCCUCAAUGUGGGUCGUGUUUGUGUAGUGAUAGAAAUAUUUUGUCUUGUCCAAUCAAUGAUAUUAUACAAUGUGCAGAAGGGUGUCAACUUAAGACACGGAAUGGAUGUUGGAAGUGUUCCUGUUAUCAACAAUGAUCAUACUACAUAGGACGAAUAUAGGUCUAUACAACUCUUCUUACACCGACAAUCUCCGUGUUAGAAAUAAAAUCACUUUUCCGUCACCAAAGCUCUCACCACUGCCUAUCUAUAUGUAUACAGAGCACACUGUCUACAGAUUUAAGUCCCCGACAAACUACAGCUUAUUUUUGUGGCUUCGAAACCGCAGAGACUAAUAAUUUUACAAGGAUGUGAUUUAGUACGAUUGUGAGACAGUAAAAUGAUAAUGAUGUGACGUUUAAAGUACGAAAGGUUCAAACAUUAAAUACCCUUGAAGGCAUUUUACUGUGCGGUAUAUAAAUUAUUUGUAAAUAUAUUUUAGUUGUAAAAAACAUGGUAAUGUAUUUUAUUUAUAAUGUUAGAACAUACGUGUAUUCUGUUAUUGCUAAUAAACUAUACUGAUAUGUG